CCUACGGGUGGCAGCAGUGGGGGAUAUUGGACAAUGGGGGAAACUCUGAUCCAGCGACGCCGCGUGAGUGAAGAAGUAUCUCGGUGUGUAAAGCUCUAUCAGCAGGGAAGAAAGAAAUUACGGUACCUGAGUAAGAAGCCCCGGCUAACUACGUGCCAGCAGCCGCGGUAAUACGGAGGGGGCAAGCGUUAUCCGGAUGUACUGGGUGUAAAGGGAGCGUAGACGGUAAUGCAAGUCUGGAGUGAAAGGCGGUGGCCCAACCCCCGGAUUGGUCUGGAAACUGGGUAACGGGAGUGCAGGAGAGGCAGGCGGAAUUCGUGGUGUAGCGGUGAAAUGCGUAGAUAUUAGGAAGAACACCAGUGGCGAAGGCAGCUUACCAAGCUACUUCUGACGUUGAGGCACGAAAGCGUGGGGAGCAAACAGGAUUAGAUACCCUGGUAGUC
rnacentral:rRNA from 1 species